rnacentral:snoRNA from 1 species
UGGCGUCUUUUACCAAUUCUGAAGGAUUAAAUAUGGUUCCUUUAGGUAUAAUGGCAUUGACGCAAUAUUGAUUGUGGUAUAUCCUGAUCAUUUGGCUUUUUUUUCUAUGUUAUUUGAUCCUGGAAAUGCCUCACACAUUU